GACGAACGCUGGCGGCGUGCUUAACACAUGCAAGUCGAGCGGUAAGGCCCUUUCGGGGGUACGACGAGCGGCGAACGGGUGAGUAACACGUGGGUGACCUGCCCUCAGCUCUGGGAUAAGCCUGGGAAACCGGGUCUAAUACUGGAUAUGACUCCAUGACGCAUGUUGUGGGGUGGAAAGCCUUGUGCGGCUGAGGAUGGGCCCGCGGCCUAUCAGCUUGUUGGUGGGGUGANGGCCUACCAAGGCGACGACGGGUAGCCGGCCUGAGAGGGCGACCGGCCACACGUGGGACUGAGACACCGGCCCAGACUCCGUACGGGAGGCAGCAGGUGGGGAAUCUUGCGCAAGUGGGCGAAAGCCUGACGCAGCGACGCCGCGUGA
rnacentral:rRNA from 1 species